rnacentral:tRNA from 1 species
UAAAAUGUAGCUAAAACUAAAGCACCUCCCUUACACUGAGAAGAAGCCCGUGGAAAUCGGACCAUUUUAA